rnacentral:rRNA from 1 species
CGUUCCCGGGUCUUGUACACACCGCCCGUCACACCACGAAAGUCGGCAACACCCGAAAGCCGGUGGCCUAACCCGCAAGGGAGGGAGCCGUCGAAGGUGGGGCUGGCGAUUGGGGUG